rfam:Glomerella graminicola M1.001 genomic scaffold supercont1.14, whole genome shotgun sequence.
UCCCCGAUAGUCUAGUGGUGAGGAUAUCUGCUUGUCACUGCAAUAGCAGCAACUCGCAGGGGACCGGGGUUCAAUUCCCCGUCGAGGAG